GCAACCACAUGGUGGCUCACAACCAUCCGUAAUGAGAUCUGACGCCCUCUUCUGGGUGUCUGAAGACAGCUAAAGGGUACUGAAGAUUUGAAGCAGUUGUCCAAUGUCAGUCCCCACAUAGGGUUCGCUCUCUGUCUAAUCAUAGGCACCAACACCUCCAAAUCCGUGAAGCAAAAUGAAUCUUUCCUCCCUUAAAUGGAGUUUCUCUCAGUAACGGAAAGUCUAACUAACUGCAGACAGAAAUCUGAGCCUGGAAGUUCAGGAUUUAAAAACUCUGUGAUUAGACAGAGAGCAAACACUAUGUGGGGUCUGACAUUGGACAGACCUCCCCAACUCAUUGUUCAGCUGCAAACUGGAAGGCUUGUAGCCAUCACUAAUACAACUCAAGCCUCAUUCCUGACCCCGUUCCUUAUCUUGGUUUCAAUUCUCAAGCCAAAAAAUCUGUAAUAUUAUCUAUCUAUCCUCUGUUUUGAUACUGCUUUCACUUUUAACCUUCAAAAUCAUUCUAGAACUCAAUCUCUUUUCCCACAACCAUUACUGGUACUCUUUACUUUUUUUUUUAAUUAUCAUUUUAUGUGUAACGGUGUUUUGCCUCCAUAUCUGUCUAUGUAUCGUAUGUGCACAGUGCCCACAGAGGCCAGAAUAGGAAAUCAGAUCCUCCAAACUAGAGCUACAGACAGUUAUAAGCCACCAUGUGGGUGCUUGGAAUCAAACCCAAGUCCUCUGGAAGAGCAGCCAGUGCUCUUAACCACUCUGCCAUCUCUUUGGCACAUUUUGUUCCUCUUUUCUGAGCUACCAUUAUCUCUCACACAGAUUUUUUUUUUUUUUAUGUAUUAUGUAUACAGCAUUCUGCCUGCGGCCAGAAGAAGGCACCAGAUCUCAUUACAGAUGGUUGUGAGCCACCAUAUGGUUGCUGGGAAUUGAACUCAAGACUUCUGAAAGAGCACUCAGCUCACAGAUGCUUAUGACUGCCUCCUAAUAAGUUCCUGCUGGCAAUCUUCCUCUUAACCACUGCGGUCUUAGCACAGCUCUGAAUGUAACAGCAGAAACAACGUAGCAACAUUGUCUGUUGGGUGGGCAGCUGGAGAGUCAGGAGCUGCCAGAGCCUGGUGCAGUGUUCUUCCUGCAAUGUUGUAUCUCAACACUGUUCUAAGAACCUAAAACAAUCUGCUGAAAAACAAUGGUCUGCUCUCAUGGGA